rnacentral:tRNA from 1 species
GGGCGGCUAGCUCAGCUGGCCAGAGCACCUGCCUUACAAGCAGGGGGUCGGAGGUUCAAGUCCUCUGCCGCCCACCA